GGAGGAUGCAAGCGUUAUCCGGAAUUAUUGGGCGUAAAGCGUCUGCAGGUGGCAGUUCAAGUCUGCUGUCAAAGACCGGGGCUUAACUUCGGAAAGGCAGUGGAAACUGAACAGCUAGAGUAUGGUAGGGGCAGAGGGAAUUCCUGGUGUAGCGGUGAAAUGCGUAGAGAUCAGGAAGAACAUCGGUGGCGAAGGCGCUCUGCUGGACCAUAACUGACACUCAGGGACGAAAGCUAGGGGAGCGAAUGGG
rnacentral:rRNA from 1 species